GAUGAACGCUGGCGGCGUGCCUAAUACAUGCAAGUCGAGCGAACAGACGAGGAGCUUGCUCCUCUGACGUUAGCGGCGGACGGGUGAGUAACACGUGGAUAACCUACCUAUAAGACUGGGAUAACUUCGGGAAACCGGAGCUAAUACCGGAUAAUAUAUUGAACCGCAUGGUUCAAUAGUGAAAGACGGUUUUGCUGUCACUUAUAGAUGGAUCCGCGCCGCAUUAGCUAGUUGGUAAGGUAACGGCUUACCAAGGCAACGAUGCGUAGCCGACCUGAGAGGGUGGUCGGCCACACUGGAACUGAGACACAGUCCAGACUCCUGCGGGGGGCAGCAGUAGGGAAUCUUCCGCGAUGGGCGAGAGCCUGACGGAGCAACGCCGCGUGAGUGAUGAAGGUCUUCGGAUCGUAAAGCUCUGUUAGUAGGGAAGAACAAAUGUGUAAGUAACUAUGCACGUCUUGACGGUACCUAGUCAGAAAGCCACGGCUAACUACGUG
rnacentral:rRNA from 1 species